CUUCAGCCUGUGGCAGCAGAAGUGGAGCAGCAUGUGGACCUAAGACAAAAACGCCAUUGGUGAGUUCAAAGUCACCUUCUUGUGCAGCAAAUGUAAUGUGAUAAAACCAACCAGCAGAGGGUGAUGAGACGUCGGUGUUCUGGGACUCGGACCAAGUGCUCGCACAGCUGCAUGAGCAGGACAAUCACAGUUUGGCUCAGCACCUGGAAACAAACAAUAUUGGAUCAAAGACGGCAUUGAGAAGGCUGGAGUUUCGAGCAUUCAACGCUUACUGCAGACUGAGGAACUUGUUCAAGCCGAUGGGAUCAAGCCAAGUGUUGGACGACAGUCACUGCCUGGUGAAGUGGACCUAAGAAAAAAGGACAGAGUUACAGUGCAUUUCUGGUGCAGCAAAUUUGAGACACGAUGACUCCCAGCGAGGAAGAGCACCUGUGAGGUCUUCUGCAGGAAUCGUAGCUUGUUGGCGGACUGCUCCAACGUUUGCUUCAGCCUCUCCUGGAUGGCAUCCUCCAGCUGACGAAACAGAAGCAAGGUACAGAGUUGCAUGUCACAUCGCAGACCGGGGGGAGAAAAGACCCAGGCGGACAGUUUCCUUAGGCAGCGUGACAUCACUUCUGGAAAACAGCAAGACACGAGUCACAACAUUCACUCGGCAUGGAUUCUGUUGGAGAUGAAACCCACUGCCACCAGCGCCAACUUCUCCAAUUCCUCUUCUCCCAAAGUCUGCCACCUUCCGGCCAAAAAAAAAAAAAAAAAUGCAACCGCUUCAGAGGGCUCCACAGUGGACAAGCCUAAACACAAACAGGAGGUAAGCAAUGGACCACCCAAGCUUUCAAUUGGACUUUGAUUUAUUGAAUGUGCGUCAAGAUUUCAGUUGCAAUGUAGAAAUUUUCUCUGCCCGGCGUCUUGGUGGUCAGGGUGCAGAGUCCACCAUGGCACUUUAACUGGAAGCCUCUCUGCAGUCAAAAAAAAAAAAAAAAAAUGUUUUAAAGCUUGUCAGCAUUUUGGGUCAUCUUAAAGAACGUUGAUAAUGACGCAACGUUUCCUCCACCACCUACAACAACAACCAGUCAGCAGCAUCAGUGGAUAAAAAGAUCUAAGGUACUUUUUGGGCCCGUCCACGCCAAGUUCUGGGGGGGGGGCAAGAGAUGUUUUGUCGCCACCUGUUGGCUAGAAG